AUCGGAAGUCAAUAUUCAGUCUAUGAGAGAACCGAAAUUCAUUUAUAUCACUACGCCGAUGAUGUAGGCCACUAAAUUAUCGCGAUGUUACAGUAAAUUGUCAUCACAUAAUGACAGUUCUGACAGAUAAGCUCCGAAUAAAAUUCCGAUAUUAAAAUGAUUUUAACAAAUAGUAAACUCUUUUCUCUCUUCUUCUCCAUUGCUUAAUGUGGUGGUUUUGUUAGUAGAUUUUCCUCCUCCGACGAUGCUGGUGCGAAAAUGGUACGAGGCGAACGUGCUUGCAAAGCGGUCCUGUGUUCGUAUGAGGUCUCAUCGCACACCCUAAUGGCGGCCAGCAGUCCUGGUUCUGUAUAGGGACCGCGAAUGAGACCCAGUGAUGUAUCUGUCAACCACCGAAUGGUACGAAAUGAUCCCUUUUACGAAGUGCGGGGUCGGACAGCGGGCAUAUUUUAACCCCCUACCCACAGGGGAAGGGGUAAGUUAUCUGCACUUUUAUAAUAUAUACGGAGUUCAAUUGCGCUAUGGUGUUCUACGCAUUCCAAACGAUUCUAACAGUUCUAAAAUGGCGGAGAGUUGUAAUUUUAAGUGAUUCUCGAAAGACUGCAUGAUUAGCCGUCAAACGAAGCAAAUUGCAUUGAAUUGUUUAUUAGAAACCGAAAA
rnacentral:lncRNA from 1 species